CUCAAAAUAAAAUACACUUUUUAACAAAAUACGCUUUAAAAAGUGUAUUUUUUCUGCAUUUUUACCGAAAAGUGUAUUUUUUCUGCAUUUUUUUCAUAAUUAAGUGCACUAAAGUGCAUUUUUUCUGUAUUUUCAUUAUCUUUCAGUGUAUUUUACUGUACUUUAAGUGUAUCUUCUGUAGACAAAGUGCAUCUUUUUAUGCAAUAAGUGCAUUUUUUCAAUGAAGUGCAUUUUUUGUGCAUAUUAGUGUAUCUUCUGAUUUGCAAAAAAAAUAUUCUUUCUGUACAAGUGUAGUUUUAGUGCAUCUUCAUAAAAAAGAGCAACUCUAUAGCAAAUAACUGAAGUUAAAGGACAGAGAUAUAGUGUUUAAUAGGAGGAUUGUACUGAAUUCUUUUUUAUCUUCACAUAAUGUUUAUGGUCUUAUUAUUGCAAUUUGUCUGCUCAUAAAAUAUGUGAAUCAGUAGAGCAGCUUUUAAAGGGAAAAGUACAACUAAAUCAGGCUGUGGGUAAAUAAUUAAAAAUAUUGAAAGUGUCAAAAAAAUUAUGUGGUCUUGCCAGAAUCAAUUAUAUCUUCACAACAUAAAAAACAAGUAUUUGAACUUUCUUACACUGAUAUUUAACCCCAAUUCAAUUAAUGUCUACCACAUUGACUAUUAACAUACAUUUUAAAAGACAAUUUAAAUAAUAUUUAUAAUAUUAUAUUUAUUUCCUAACACCAUUCAGUAUGUUAUAUUGAAAUAUUCACAAUUAAAUAUAAUAUGCUAAGUGUGCUGUGUAUUAUUCAAUAAAUAUCAGAUAAGAUCAGGAUCAGAUAAGAGAUCAAUUAGCAUCAUAAACACUAAUCCCUAUCAGUGCUCCAUCUAGCCAAAACAAAGGGGUGUUUAUAGAAUUUUGAUUGGUUCUGGGACCAUCUAUUUGAAAACAAACCACUUUUGAUUGGUUGGAGCACAGAAAGUUAUUUGGAGCACAGGAAGUUAUUUUUGUAAACAAUUUGGUUUCAGCAACUUAAAUUGAGCUAAAUUUUUAGGUAUAAUUCAGCAACAUUAAUUCUAGUGUCAAAUGUCUUGAAAUUCUUUCAGCACAUGAACUAUUGUGUGAUGAAAACAAUGUGUAUUUACUACAAUGUGUAAAUCAACAAUAAGUUUGUUGCAAAGAAGAUUCAAAGUGGGUGGUUAAAGUGAUCAACAACUGCAGUUUUUGUUUUUUUGGAAUGCUGAAGAACAGCUGUAACAGGUUUGUAUUUUCAUUUCUGCAUCUCUUUUUAUUUAAAUUAAUUAUGAUCAUUAUCAUAUUUAUGUAUUGUCACUGGAAAAUGUAACUGGAUGAGUAAAUGUAAUGCAAUUUUAAGGAAAAAAACACCAUUUGAAUUAUUAUGGCUGUAUUUUAUGGUUAUUGUCAUCUUAAAAUUUAUUUAUACCUAUUUCUUGUCAUUUAUGAACAGAUUUCUUUCCCCCAUAUUUAAUCAGAACUUUAAUAUUUUAUAUUUGAAGGUUAAACCCCAAGGUGAAAUUUACAUUGAUCGGAAGAUCCAUUGGACAGAAUGUGCAUCAUCGCCUGCCAAAAAAGGGAGCAAAAAGGGGACUACCUGAUGUAUGGACAUGUAUACCAGGCCAACUUGAGGGGAACAGGAGUGGGAAACCGUGCCCUGUAGCUUGUCCUUGACCAAGAAAAGAUGGAUUUGUUGAGAGGACCUGAUCUCAAAUGAGAUCAUGCACGAGAAGCGCCUCGCAGACCAUGACAGUAGUAUUCAGACCUGUAUCAUCAGCUGGUGAAGUGCUCUAUAAAGGGUUGUUUAUGAAUGCAUUCUUUGUAAGAAACAGUGUAUAACAACAAAUAUAGUGACAGGGGCUAAGCUGCUAAAUAUUGUCAGCAUGUAUGCAGUGAUUUUCUUUGGAAAUUCAAAACAACCUGUACGUACUGGCUCUCAGAAGGGCAUGUUUUAGCGCAAUAAUGAACAAAAAAAGGAAGAUCUUAAAAAUAAGGUAUAGAUUUAUAUAAAUUUCAUGAAUACUGUUCAUUUAUCAUAUAUUAGGAUCCAGAAUAUGAUUGAAUUAAAUGUACUGCUUUUGUCCAUAUUAUAAAGGAAUUAAUGUAAUAUAUAAAAAUCUAGUAAAUGAUAGGGAAAACAUUUCAGCUUAAGGAGGGGAAAUCUUUAAUAUUUUUGAAGUGGAAACCACCUGUAUUUGGCUGUUAAUCAGUUACCGAUAAUCAGGGGGGAGAAAAAUCACUGGUAUGAGCUUGAUAUUUUCAAUUGUUAAUUCCAGAUAGGCAAUAGCCCGUUUGAAUCCUCUCUUUUAUGUAGAUAUGUAACAUUUGUUUUUGUUUUUUAAGGUUUAACAUUCUAAUAAAAGUGUGUAUUUAUCUAUUGAAUUGUACUUUUUGUUUUUUAUGUAUGUGUUUACACUAACCUUUCAUUUAAAGAAUGAA